rnacentral:snRNA from 1 species
AUUGCUUCUCAGCCUUUUGGCUAAGAUCAAGUGUAGUAUCUUUGAAUGGUCAUUUUAAGUCUUGCAAACACAACUCUAACUUCUU